AUGACGUUUUGUUCAAGAUGUAUUAAUGGUUUCUCUACCAAACAUAACCGUGCUUCAAGGAAUGACGAUGACGAUGAAGCGGUUGGUGUUGAACAAGGAUCAACUCUUUUUCCUUUUGUAGGACAACCACUUGGAAAGCCUGGCAAUUAUGUUCUUAGAGGGUUGGCUAGAUUUCAAGCACAUGGAUAUGUGUUGUUCAACUUCUCAGAUGUCAACCCAUUCCUUCGAGCUCACGCUGAUGAGAUCACUAGCGAGCAUGAUGGCUCCUCAAACAUAGUCGAGUCUAUCCAACAUGAUAAGUUCAAUGACUGGUUCAAAGCUCAUAUAAUUAAAUUGGAGAAGGAAAACGGUAUUGGCAGUAUUAAUAAUGAUAUUAGAUGGCUAGCACGUGGCCCGGUUGAUGCAGCAAAAAGGUACCGCGCUUACAACUCCAGAGGAUAUCGGUUUAGGCUUAAAUGCUCAGACAGGGUGAGUCAAAAUAGUGGAGUGGUGGUACGUGCCAAAACAUCUACAUAUGCUGCACCAGAAUAA
rnacentral:rRNA from 1 species